ACAGCAGCCGCCACGGUAAUACGGAGGGUGCAAGCGUUAAUCGGAAUUACUGGGCGUAAAGCGCACGCAGGCGGUCUGACAAGUCAGAUGUGAAAUCCCCGGGCUUAACCUGGGAACUGCAUUUGAAACUGUCAGGCUGGAGUCUUGUAGAGGGGGGUAGAAUUCCAGGUGUAGCGGUGAAAUGCGUAGAGAUCUGGAGGAAUACCGGUGGCGAAGGCGGCCCCCUGGACAAAGACUGACGCUCAGGUGCGAAAGCGUGGGGAGCAAACAGGAUUAGAUACCCGUGUAGUCCCUGUCUCUUAUAC
rnacentral:rRNA from 1 species